rnacentral:tRNA from 1 species
GGGUCGCUAGCUCAACUAGGCAGAGCAGGGGCCUCUUAAGCCCAAGGUUGCGGGUUCGAUUCCCGCGCGACCCA